CCGACAGAAGAGAGUGAGCAUAUAUAGUUCUUUCCUUGCAUAUGUGGUCAUAUGUGUGUUGACUGAAGAGAUACAUAUAUAGAGAGAGAGUUCAUGUGCUUGAAGCUAUAUGUGCUCACUUCUCUUUCUGUCAG
rnacentral:pre_miRNA from 1 species